rnacentral:rRNA from 1 species
CGAUGACACGACGUAAAAACCUUACCCUUACCCUUGACAUGUCUGGAACCUUGCUGAGAGGCGAGGGUGCCCGUUCGGGAGCCAGAACACAGGUGCUGCAUGGCUGUCGUCAGCUCGUGUCGUGAGAUUGUUGGGUUUAAGUCCCGCAACGAGCGCAACCCUUGUCAUUAGUUGCCAUCAUUUAGUUGGGCACUCUAAUGAGACUGCCGGUGACAAACCGGAGGAAGGUGGGGAUGACGUCAAGUCCUCAUGGCCCUUAUGGGUAGGGCUUCACACGUCAUACAAUGGUCGGUACAGAGGGUUGCCAAGCCGCGAGGUGGAGCCAAUCCCUUAAAGCCGAUCGUAGUCCGGAUCGUAGUCUGCAACUCGACUACGUGAAGUCGGAAUCGCUAGUAAUCGCAGAUCAGCAUGCUGCGGUGAAUACGUUCCCGGGUCUU